GCUGAGAUCGCCUUUGAAUUCAAUAACAAGUGUAUUUCAAUGAAUUAGUUAUUUAACUAAGAAACUCAGCUGAAAUGCGCAAUUAUUGACUGCCUUAACUUAACCCUCGAGUUCAAAACUAUUUGGAAAAGAGUAGGCUCCAGCAUAACAACCUAAAACUGCACGCCGAACCUGCUUCGACUAAGAACACACAAGCCUCUGUUCAAUAGAGGGGCCCCAAGGUGAAGCGCUAAUGCGACAUCAACCUCAACACGUGGCUGGAGCUGGUAGUGAUUGCACAAAACCCUUUUCAGCGGAAUGAAUGGAUUCCUCAAAAAUGCACUGACUGGCCAGUCCGAGAAGAUAUUGAAAUAUAACACAAAGCAAGAAGCGAAACGAAGGAAACAAAUGGUGCACUCACGGAAAACAAAACGAGAAAAGCUGAACGCGAGAAAUCUUGUAGCACCGAUGGAACACCAAAUGAAGAGGAAGUCAACUGUUCAAGAUAAAAUCGAGGAUUGCUGGAAAGUCGUAAUGGAUUAUCUCAACGUAGAAGACCACCUCAGCCUUGCUUCCUCGAACGUGUAUAUCGGAGAGAUGUUCAAGAGAUACGAUCGGUGCAAACGUAUUGAGGAAUUAGUAUUUAGCGACUAAUGUCUGAAACAACUGUUGCAGAUUCUAGGCGGAGCGGAGAAUAGGAGCGGAUGGGAAGAUCUAUACAUCCUGAAAAAGCUCAAAGCCUUGGACGAUACUCUGGGAACUCUGUGGCAGUUCCAGAGAAAGGUCAGGGGAAUAGAGCCGUUCCAAAUGCCCUGCGUAUCGGAUUCCUCUGGACGGACUGUCAUCCAGAGAUGAGUGAACGGCAACGAGCACUUCAGUCGGCACUGGGCAGACUACAAAAUGAGUUUCGGAAACCCACGGGAGAACUUCUUUCUUGGACUGGAAAAAAUCCAUCUAAUGACCCUGCUAGAGCCUCACGAGUUGGAUAUCCAACUCCAAGAUGUCAAUGGAGAAACCACCUAUGCUCGCUAUGACGAUUUCAGAAUAGGGAGCGAAGAGGUUUUUUGAAUUUUCGCUCACAAAUCGUACU
rnacentral:sRNA from 1 species